rnacentral:rRNA from 1 species
CAGUCGCAGGGUAACGUGAGGGAAGCUUGCUUCCCUUGACGACGACUGGCGCACCGUUGAGUAACGCGUAUCCAACCUUCCCAUGACCACGGGAUAACCCGUUGAAAGACGGACUAAUACCGUAUGACGUCGUUUGCUGACAUCAAAUAACGAUUAAAGGUUUGGCGGUGAUGGAUGGGGAUGCGUCUGAUUAGCUUGUUGGCGGGGUAACGGCCCACCAAGGCGACGAUCAGUAGGGGUUCUGAGAGGAAGGUCCCCCACAUUGGAACUGAGACACGGUCCAAACUCCUACGGGAGGCAGCAGUGAGGAAUAUUGGUCAAUGGGCGAGAGCCUGAACCAGCCAAGUAGCGUGCAGGAUGACGGCCCUAUGGGUUGUAAACUGCUUUUAUGCGGGGAUAAAGUGCGCGACGUGUCGUGCAUUGCAGGUACCGCAUGAAUAAGGACCGGCUAAUUCCGUGCCAGCAGCCGCGGUAAUACGGAAGGUCCGGGCGUUAUCCGGAUUUAUUGGGUUUAAAGGGAGCGUAGGCCGCCAGGUAAGCGUGUUGUGAAAUGUACCGGCUCAACCGGUGAAUUGCAGCGCGAACUGUCUGGCUUGAGUGCACGGUAAGCAGGCGGAAUUCAUGGUGUAGCGGUGAAAUGCUUAGAUAUCAUGAAGAACUCCGAUUGCGAAGGCAGCUUGCUGCAGUGCGACUGACGCUGAUGCUCGAAGGUGCGGGUAUCAAACAGGAUUAGAUACCCUGGUAGUCCGCACGGUAAACGAUGGAUGCCCGCU